GACAGCCUUCUGAAGGGAAGAUUAAUACAAGAUGGCAUCAUGAGUCCGCAUGUUCACAUGAUUAAAGGUAUUCCGGUAGACGAUGGGGAUGCGUUCCAUUAGAUAGUAGGCGGGGUAACGGCCCACCUAGUCUUCGAUGGAUAGGGGUUCUGAGAGGAAGGUCCCCCACAUUGGAACUGAGACACGGUCCAAACUCCUACGGGAGGCAGCAGUGAGGAAUAUUGGUCAAUGGGCGAGAGCCUGAACCAGCCAAGUAGCGUGAAGGAUGACUGCCCUAUGGGUUGUAAACUUCUUUUAUAAAGGAAUAAAGUCGGGUAUGCAUACCCGUUUGCAUGUACUUUAUGAAUAAGGAUCGGCUAACUCCGUGCCAGCAGCCGCGGUAAUACGGAGGAUCCGAGCGUUAUCCGGAUUUAUUGGGUUUAAAGGGAGCGUAGAUGGAUGUUUAAGUCAGUUGUGAAAGUUUGCGGCUCAACCGUAAAAUUGCAGUUGAUACUGGAUAUCUUGAGUGCAGUUGAGGCAGGCGGAAUUCGUGGUGUAGCGGUGAAAUGCUUAGAUAUCACGAAGAACUCCGAUUGCGAAGGCAGCCUGCUAAGCUGCAACUGACAUUGAGGCUCGAAAGUGUGGGUAUCAAACAGGAUUAGAUACCCUGGUAGUCCACACGGUAAACGAUGAAUACUCGCUGUUUGCGAUAUACGGCAAGCGGCCAAGCGAAAGCGUUAAGUAUUCCACCUGGGGAGUAC
rnacentral:rRNA from 1 species